ACAGUCACUGACAUUAGAUACCCGGGUAGUCCAGGGUGUAAACGCUGCAGACUUGGUGUUGGGAACCCUUCGGGGGUGCUCAGUGCCGGAGAGAAGUUGUUAAGUCUGCUACUUGGGAGUACGUCCGCAAGGAUGAAACUUAAAGGAAUUGGCGGGGGAGCACCGCAACGGGAGGAGCGUGCGGUUUAAUUGGAUUCAACGCCGAAAAACUCACCAGCAGCGACUGUUACAUGAAAGUCAGGUUGAUGACCUUACUAGAUUUUCAG
rnacentral:rRNA from 1 species